UACGUAGGGUGCGAGCGUUAAUCGGAAUUACUGGGCGUAAAGCGUGCGCAGGCGGCGGCUCAAGUCAGGUGUGAAAUCCCCGGGCUCAACCUGGGAACUGCAUUCGAGACUGCCUUGCUAGAGUAUGGGAGAGGGAAGUGGAAUUUCCGGUGUAGCGGUGAAAUGCGUAGAUAUCGGAAGGAACAUCAGUGGCGAAGGCGACUUCCUGGACCAAUACUGACACUCAGGUGCGAAAGCGUGGGGAGCAAACAGG
rnacentral:rRNA from 1 species